rnacentral:rRNA from 1 species
AAAAUGGCCCCGUAACUUCGGGAGAAGGGGCGCCCCGGUAAGGUGAAGGUCUUCGCGACCGGAGCCCGAGGGGGCCGCAGUGAAUUGGCCCAACCGACUGUUUACCAAAAACACAGGUCUCUGCUAAGUCGCAAGACGACGUAUAGGGGCUGACGCCUGCCCGGUGCCGGAAGGUUACGUGGAGGGGUUAGUUGUCUUCGGACAACGAAGCUCUGAAACUAAGCCCCGGUAAACGGCGGCGGUAACUAUAACCGUCCUAAGGUAGCGAAAUUCCUUGUCGGGUAAGUUCCGACCUGCACGAAUGGCUUAACGAGUUGGGCGCUGUCUCAACGAUGGGCUCGGUGAAAUCGCAGUCUCGGUGAAGAUGCCGAGUACCCGCGGCAAGACGGAAAGACCCCGUGAACCUUUACUACAGCUUGAUAUUGGAGUCUGAGGCACCUCGCUCAGGAUAGGUGGGAGGCUGUGAAGCCAGGACUGCGGUUCUGGUGGAGCCACCCUUGAGAUACCACCCUUGGUGUCUCGGGCUUCUAACAUCGCACCGUGAAACCGGUCGGUGAACAGUGUCAGGUGGGUAGUUUGACUGGGGCGGUCGCCUCCCAAAAUGUAACGGAGGCGCGCAAAGGUUCCCUCAGCACGGUUGGAAAUCGUGCGUAGAGUGCAAAAGCAAUAAGGGAGCUUGACUGCGAGACAGACAUGUCGAGCAGGUGCGAAAGCAGGCUUUAGUGAUCCGGCGGUAGCAAGUGGAAGCGCCGUCGCUCAACGGAUAAAAGGUACUCCGGGGAUAACAGGCUUAUCGGGCCCAAGAGUCCACAUCGACGGCCCGGUUUGGCACCUCGAUGUCGGCUCGUCGCAUCCUGGGGCUGUAGUCGGUCCCAAGGGUUGGGCUGUUCGCCCAUUAAAGCGGUACGCGAGCUGGGUUCAGAACGUCGUGAGACAGUUCGGUCCCUAUCUGCCGUGGGCGUUGGAGAGUUGAGGGGAGUCGUCCCUAGUACGAGAGGACCGGGAUGAACGCACCUCUGGUGUACCAGUUGUCCUGCCAAGGGCACUGCUGGUUAGCUACGUGCGGAUCGGAUAACCGCUGAAGGCAUCUAAGCGGGAAGCCGACCUCGAGAUGAGCUCUCCCAUCCCCUUGAGGGAGUAAGACCCCUGGUAGACCACCAGGUGAUAGGCCGGAUGUGUAAACGCAGCAAUGCGCUCAGCAGACCGGUACUAAUGGUUCGAGGGCUUGACU